UACGGGGGGGGCAAGCGUUGUUCGGAAUUACUGGGCGUAAAGGGCUCGUAGGCGGCCAACUAAGUCAGACGUGAAAUCCCUCGGCUUAACCGGGGAACUGCGUCUGAUACUGGAUGGUUUGAGUUUGGGAGAGGGACGCGGAAUUCCAGGUGUAGCGGUGAAAUGCGUAGAUAUCUGGAGGAACACCGGUGGCGAAGGCGGCGUCCUGGACCAACACUGACACUGAUGAGCGAAAGCCAGGGGAGCAAACGGG
rnacentral:rRNA from 1 species